rnacentral:rRNA from 1 species
GACGAACGCUGGCGGCGUGCUUAACACAUGCAAGUCGAACGGUAAGGCCCCUUCGGGGGUACACGAGUGGCGAACGGGUGAGUAACACGUGAGCAACCUGCCCUUGACUCUGGAAUAACAGCUGGAAACAGCUGCUAAUACCGGAUAUGACUCAUGACGACAUCAUCGUGAGUGGAAAGCCCUGGCGGUCAAGGAUGGGCUCGCGGCCUAUCAGCUUGUGGUGAGGUAACGGCUCACCAAGGCUUCGACGGGUAGCCGGCCUGAGAGGGCGACCGGCCACACUGGGACUGAGAUACGGCCCAGACUCCUACGGGAGGCUG